GAUCCUGGCUCAGGAUGAACGCUAGCGACAGGCUUAACACAUGCAAGUCGAGGGGCAGCGCGGGAGUCAGCUUGCUGACUUCUGGCGGCGACCGGCGCACGGGUGAGUAACACGUAUGCAACCUGCCCGCCACAGGGGGGAUAACCCGGGGAAGGAAAUCCCGACUAAUACCGCGUAGUCCCGGGGAAGGCAUCUUCCCCGGGGGAAAGGAGCGAUCCCGGGUGGCGGAUGGGGCAUGCGGGCGCAUUAG
rnacentral:rRNA from 1 species